rnacentral:tRNA from 1 species
CCGGGAUAGCUCAGUUGGUAGAGCAGAGAGMCUGAAAAUCCUCGUGUCA